rnacentral:tRNA from 1 species
AGAGAUAUGGCUCAGUGGGUAGAGUGCUUGCUUAACAUGCAUGAAGUCCUGGAUUCUAAAUCCCAGUGCUA